GUACAAUCAACAUACAGCUACAUACAAUAAAUAAAACAAUAAAUCAAAAUAAAAACACAGAUACUAGCCCAACUUCUUGAAAGGUAAUGACAAGUAAUAAUUUUUAACCCCAGCUUUGAAAAUAUUUUUGUAAGUAAUCUCUCUAAUCUCAGAUGUUAGGCUAUUCCAAAGCCUUGGACCUGCAACAGCAAAGUCCUAAUCCUCUCUCAGCUUAAAAUGAGUUCAUGGGACAGUAAGAAAAUAAUCUUAAAGACCUAGAUGACUGUUUUAAUCGAGCAAGAGACCUAAUCUAGGAAAUACAGCUCUUAACCACAGCAUUAACCUGCUUGUCAAAUUACAAAUCUGGAUCGAACACAACUCCUAAAUUCCUUAUUUGGUCUUGACAGUAGGCUGACCAAGGACCUAAAGAAGUGGCGAUGUCUGAGCAUCCUCUAGUGGGGCAAAA